UACGGGAGGCAGCAGUGGGGGAUAUUGCACAAUGGAGGAAACUCUGAUGCAGCGACGCCGCGUGAGUGAAGAAGUAUUUCGGUAUGUAAAGCUCUAUCAGCNGGAAGAAAGACUCGUAAGAGAGAUGACGGUACCUGACUAAGAAGCCCCGGCUAACUACGUGCCAGCAGCCGCGGUAAU
rnacentral:rRNA from 1 species